CCGCAACGAGCGCAACCCUCACUUUUAGUUGCCAUCAUUUAGUUGGGCACUCUGAAAGAACUGCCAGUGAUAAGCUGGAGGAAGGUGGGGAUGACGUCAAGUCCUCAUGGCCCUUACGUGUUGGGCUACACACGUGCUACAAUGGUAUUUACAACAGGAAGCAAGACGGCGACGUCAAGCAAAUCCUUAAAAGAUACCUCAGUUCGGAUUGCACUCUGCAACUCGAGUGCAUGAAGCUGGAAUUACUAGUAAUCGUGGAUCAGCGUGCCACGGUGAAUGCGUUCCCGGGUCUUGUACACACCGCCCGU
rnacentral:rRNA from 1 species